GCCGGUUUGGCGCCUGCCCUUGGCCCAGGGCAGAUCCUGGAGACCCGGGAUCGAAUCCCCACGUCGGGAUCCCGGUGCAUUAGGGAGCCUGCUUCUCCCUCUGCCUGUCUCUCUGCCUCUCCCCCCUCCCCCCUCCCCUCUCCUGACCUAUCAUAAAUAAAAUCUUAAAAAAUAAAAAAAAAAAAGUAAGCUCGGUUGGGGGUUUCCCCACCCCAUCAAGAAGCUCAGUUUUUGGAUCCCUGGGUGGCGCAGCGGUUUGGCGCCAGCCUUUGGCCCAGGGCAGAUCCUGGAGACCCGGGAUCGAAUCCCACGUCGGGCUCCCGGUGCAUGGAGCCUGCUUCUCCCUCUGCCUGUGUCUCUGCCUCUCUCUCUCUCUGACUAUCAUAAAUAAAUAAAAAUUAAAAAAAAAAAAGAAGCUCGGUUGGGGGUUUGGAGUAGUUUAGAGUGAUUUUUUUUCUACUCAUACCCAUAGAUAAGUGCCACAUAUUUAGGGGAUAUGUGUAUUUAUUGCAAAAAAAAAAAAAUCAUUAUAUACAUUGUUUUGUUUCCUGAUUUUUUUUUCAGAUUCAUUUACUCCGGACAUUUUUCUAUGAACACAGCACAACUUUUCACAGUAUUCUAGAACCGAGGAGCUGGACCCCAGUGUCUCCGGCUCGGUUCGGACUAAGCCUCCAUCCAACCUCCUGCCGUGCGCUGUGCACAGUGAGGGCGCGGGGGGCGCUCGGGCACUGGGGGGGCUCGAAGCUGCCCUUGCUGCUGGAGGCCCCGGGACCCCCGCACCCCCAGACCCUGCAGGCCACGGCCGGGUGCGCCGCCUCCGCCAGGCAGGGGCCGCGAGGCCAGGGCAGCAGGUGCCCGCGCCCCGCCGCGACCCCGGCUGCUCCGGAUCCUGCGCGCGCACCUCCCGCGGGCCCGGCUGCAGGGCGGCGCCAAGCCCCACUCCCACCCCCGUCAUCUGCACUUGGAUUCCCCCUUCCCCUCGACCCACUCCCUCUCCCACGCGGGCAUUUGGUCCCGUCCGCCUUCUCACCCGUCGAGGCGCGGCCCGCCGGGCCCCAGGCGCGGCUCCAGGGUCCUCCCCAGCCAGGCUCCGCUUCCGGGUGGGCGGUGAGGAGCGGGUAUCCCAGCAGUUCGCCCGCCUUACUGCCGCGCCUGGGCCCGGAGGGGGAGGGGCCAGCCCACCUCCCCCGCAGAACUACGUUUCCCAGCGGGCAACGCGGCCGCAGUUACGCUUCACAAAGUGGGAGUGAUGCGCCGGGAGACGGGACCCGUGCUGCAAGGUCUUCCGGGACCUGUAGUGCGGGCCGGGAGCCCGGGCGAAAAUUAGGCGCUACGCGACGACGUAAGCACGGUGACUAUGGCUCCAUUUUCUCAGCUGCGAAGUCAAGGCAGACAACACCAUGGCCUUGCUAAAUCUCCUUGUUGUGGUGAGGAUCAAAGCAAGACAACAGAAGUGCUCGGUGAACUGUGAAAUCCCAGAACAGAUGCCAGAUUGAUGUUGCCGUUAUUUGAGGUAAGUCUUCUUGGUCUUUCAUUUCUCUACACCCAGCAUGAACUUUCCUACUAUACAGAUGAACAGAAAUUAAUGAACACCUUUCCCUGCCCUGCCUGUCCCCCAACAGAGUCCAUUAAUUUGCUAAGAUAGUUGGGCACUGUGCUCUUCAUCCGUGUCUGCCCCCGAUUUAUAUGAGAGUGACUUCACUCUGUUGCGCUCAGUCAUCUCACCUGGAAAAUGACAUAUUGCCCUUGGAUACCUCCAAAGAGGGCAUAUGAGCAAGUGGAACUCGGAUCCUAGAUUUGCUGUAGAUUCAUGGAUCUUAUCCUUCCAAGUCCCAAUUGGUCGGUCUGGAAUUGGACUAGAAGUUGCAAUUACCUUUCUAGAAAAAUUCUAAAAAUGGGUAGUUGAAAUAAGAAUUCAGUAAAAAAAAAAAAAAAAAAAAGGUGGGGUUCUGGGUGGCUCAUUCAGUUAACUGUCUGCCUUUGGCUCAGGUCAUGAUCCUGGGGUCCUGGUAUUGAGCCCCGUGUAGGGCUCCCUGCUCUGAGAGCAAAUCUCUUUCUCCCUCUGCCUCCCCUCCUUCCACUCAUGCUCUGUCUCUCGCUUUCUCGCUCUCUCAAAUAAAAUCUUUUGAAAAAAAAAAAUUUAGCA
rnacentral:lncRNA from 12 species